CUAUGCUGUCAACGUCAUGGCAAAAGGAG
rnacentral:ncRNA from 1 species